rnacentral:rRNA from 1 species
GAUAAACGCUGGCGGCGUGCCUAAUACAUGCAAGUCGAGCGAACGGACGAGAAGCUUGCUUCUCUGAUGUUAGCGGCGGACGGGUGAGUAACACGUGGAUAACCUACCUAUAAGACUGGGAUAACUUCGGGAAACCGGAGCUAAUACCGGAUAAUAUUUUGAACCGCAUGGUUCAAAAGUGAAAGACGGUCUUGCUGUCACUUAUAGAUGGAUCCGCGCUGCAUUAGCUAGUUGGUAAGGUAACGGCUUACCAAGGCAACGAUGCAUAGCCGACCUGAGAGGGUGAUCGGCCACACUGGAACUGAGACACGGUCCAGACUCCUACGGGAGGCAGCAGUAGGGAAUCUUCCGCAAUGGGCGAAAGCCUGACGGAGCAACGCCGCGUGAGUGAUGAAGGUCUUCGGAUCGUAAAACUCUGUUAUUAGGGAAGAACAUAUGUGUAAGUAACUGUGCACAUCUUGACGGUACCUAAUCAGAAAGCCACGGCUAACUACGUGCCAGCAGCCGCGGUAAUACGUAGGUGGCAAGCGUUAUCCGGAAUUAUUGGGCGUAAAGCGCGCGUAGGCGGUUUUUUAAGUCUGAUGUGAAAGCCCACGGCUCAACCGUGGAGGGUCAUUGGAAACCGGAAAACUUGAGUGCAGAAGAGGAAAGUGGAAUUCCAUGUGUAGCGGUGAAAUGCGCAGAGAUAUGGAGGAACACCAGUGGCGAAGGCGACUUUCUGGUCUGUAACUGACGCUGAUGUGCGAAAGCGUGGGGAUCAAACAGGAUUAGAUACCCUGGUAGUCCACGCCGUAAACGAUGAGUGCUAAGUGUUAGGGGGUUUCCGCCCCUUAGUGCUGCAGCUAACGCAUUAAGCACUCCGCCUGGGGAGUACGACCGCAAGGUUGAAACUCAAAGGAAUUGACGGGGACCCGCACAAGCGGUGGAGCAUGUGGUUUAAUUCGAAGCAACGCGAAGAACCUUACCAAAUCUUGACAUCCUUUGACAACUCUAGAGAUAGAGCCUUCCCCUUCGGGGGACAAAGUGACAGGUGGUGCAUGGUUGUCGUCAGCUCGUGUCGUGAGAUGUUGGGUUAAGUCCCGCAACGAGCGCAACCCUUAAGCUUAGUUGCCAUCAUUAAGUUGGGCACUCUAAGUUGACUGCCGGUGACAAACCGGAGGAAGGUGGGGAUGACGUCAAAUCAUCAUGCCCCUUAUGAUUUGGGCUACACACGUGCUACAAUGGACAAUACAAAGGGCAGCGAAACCGCGAGGUCAAGCAAAUCCCAUAAAGUUGUUCUCAGUUCGGAUUGUAGUCUGCAACUCGACUACAUGAAGCUGGAAUCGCUAGUAAUCGUAGAUCAGCAUGCUACGGUGAAUACGUUCCCGGGUCU